AACGUAGGACGCAAGCGUUAUCCGGAGUUACUGGGCGUAAAGCGCGGGCAGGCGGCUCGCCAAGUCUGAGGUGAAAUCUCCUCGCUCAACGGGGAGAGGCCCUUGGAAACUGGUGGGCUGGAGGGCAGUAGAGGCAGGCGGAAUUCCGGGUGGAGUGGUGAAAUGCGUAGAGAUCCGGAGGAACACCAGAGGCGAAGGCGGCCUGCUGGGCUGCACCUGACGCUGAGCCGCGAAAGCCAGGGGAGCGAACGGG
rnacentral:rRNA from 1 species